rnacentral:snRNA from 2 species
GUCCCUUUGGUGACAUCCGAUAAAAUUGGGACGGUACAGAGAAGAUUAGCAUGCCCCUGCGCAAGGAUGUCACACACAAAUCGAGAAAUGGUUCAAUUUUUU